AGCCCUAGGAAUUGAUUUAGGGUGAAGCCUGCUCAAUGAUAUUUUAAAUAGCCGCGGUACCUUGACCGUGCUAAGGUAGCAUAAUCAGUUGACUUUUAAAUGAAGUCUGGAAUGAAUGGAAUAACGGGAUUAAGCUGUCUCUACCCUUUUCUUUUGAAUUUACUAAUUAGGUGAAAAGGCCUAAAUAUGAUAAAAGACGAGAAGACCCUUAGAGUUUUUGGAAAAGUUUUUGUUGGGGCGACAGAGAAUCAUAUUAACAUUCUUACUUAAAAUAUGACGGAUUUUUCAUGAUUAGAUAAACUACCUGAGGGAUAACAGCAUUAUCUUUUUAGGUUUGUGACCUCGAUGUUGGACUAGGAAGCCUAUAGGUUAGCCACUUAUAAGGGAGAUUCUGUUCGAAUUUAUACUCCU
rnacentral:rRNA from 1 species